rnacentral:rRNA from 1 species
UACGUAGGGGGGCAAGCGUUUGUCCGGAUUUAUUGGGCGUAAAGAGCGUGUAGGCGGCUUUACAGGUCCGUUGUGAAAACUCGAGGCUCAACCUCGAGACGCCGGUGGAAACCGUAAAGCUAGAGUCCGGAAGAGGAGAGUGGAAUUCCUGGUGUAGCGGUGAAAUGCGCAGAUAUCAGGAGGAACACCCGUGGCGAAGGCGGCAUCCUGGACCGGUAGUUGACGCCUGAUGCGCGAAAGCCAGGGGAGCAAACGGGG